rnacentral:rRNA from 1 species
AUACGGAGGAUCCGAGCGUUAUCCGGAUUUAUUGGGUUUAAAGGGAGCGUAGGUGGACAGUUAAGUCAGUUGUGAAAGUUUGCGGCUCAACCGUAAAAUUGCAGUUGAUACUGGUCGUCUUGAGUGCAGUAGAGGUAGGCGGAAUUCGUGGUGUAGCGGUGAAAUGCUUAGAUAUCACGAAGAACUCCGAUUGCGAAGGCAGCUUACUGGACUGUAACUGACGCUGAUGCUCGAAAGUGUGGGUAUCAAACAGGAUUAGAUACCCUGGUAGUCCACACAGUAAACGAUGAAUACUCGCUGUUUGCGAUAUACGGCAAGCGGCCAAGCGAAAGCAUUAAGUAUUCCACCUGGGGAGUACGCCGGCAACGGUGAAACUCAAAUGAAUUGACGGGG